GACAGAGGGUGCAACCGUUGCUCGGAAUUACUGGGCGUAAAGCGCGUGUAGGUGGAUUGGUGUGUCAGAUGUGAAAUCCCUGGGCUCAACCCAGGAACUGCACCUGAAACUACCAGUCUUGAGUGGUGGAGAGGGAAGUGGAAUUCCUGGUGUAGAGGUGAAAUUCGUAGAUAUCAGGAGGAACACCAGUGGCGAAGGCGGCUUCCUGGACACCAACUGACGCUGAGACGCGAAAGCGUGGGGAGCAAACAGG
rnacentral:rRNA from 1 species